rnacentral:rRNA from 1 species
UCGAACGGGAUCCUGCAAGCUUGCUUGCGGGUGAGAGUGGCGAACGGGUGAGUAAUGCGUGACCAACCUGCCCCAUGCUCCGGAAUAGCUCCUGGAAACGGGUGGUAAUGCCGGAUGUGCCGGGCUCCUGCAUGGGGGUCCGGGAAAGCUCUGGCGGCGUGGGAUGGGGUCGCGUCCUAUCAGCUUGUUGGCGGGGUGAGGGCCCACCAAGGCUUCGACGGGUAGCCGGCCUGAGAGGGCGACCGGCCACAUUGGGACUGAGAUACGGCCCAGACUCCUACGGGAGGCAGCAGUGGGGAAUAUUGCACAAUGGGCGCAAGCCUGAUGCAGCGACGCCGCGUGCGGGAUGGAGGCCUUCGGGUUGUAAACCGCUUUUGUUUGGGAGCAAGCCCUUCGGGGUGAGUGUACCUUUCGAAUAAGCACCGGCUAACUACGUGCCAGCAGCCGCGGUAAUACGUAGGGUGCGAGCGUUAUCCGGAUUUAUUGGGCGUAAAGGGCUCGUAGGCGGUUCGUCGCGUCCGGUGUGAAAGUCCAUCGCCUAACGGUGGAUCUGCGCCGGGUACGGGCGGGCUGGAGUGCGGUAGGGGAGACUGGAAUUCCCGGUGUAACGGUGGAAUGUGUAGAUAUCGGGAAGAACACCAAUGGCGAAGGCAGGUCUCUGGGCCGUUACUGAC